UACGUAGGGUGCAAGCGUUGUCCGGAAUUACUGGGCGUAAAGAGCUCGUAGGUGGUUUGUCGCGUUGUUCGUGAAAACUCACAGCUCAACUGUGGGCGUGCGGGCGAUACGGGCAGACUUGAGUACUGCAGGGGAGACUGGAAUUCCUGGUGUAGCGGUGGAAUGCGCAGAUAUCAGGAGGAACACCAAUGGCGAAGGCAGCUCGCUGGGACGGUACUGACGCUGAGGCGCGAAAGCGUGGGGAGCAAACAGG
rnacentral:rRNA from 1 species